rnacentral:rRNA from 1 species
CCCGCCGGACCUGACUGCUAUCGGAUUGAUACUAAGCCAUGCGAGUCAUUGUAGCAAUACAAGGCAGACGGCUCAUUAACGCGUAGUCAACCUAACCUAUGGACGGGAAUAACCUCGGGAAACUGAGAAUAAUGCCCGAUAGAACACUAUAUCUGGAAUGGUUUGUGUUCCAAAUGAUUUAUCGCCGUAGGAUGGGACUGCGGCCUAUCAGUUUGUUGGUGAGGUAAUGGCCCACCAAGACUAUUACAGGUACGGGCUCUGAGAGGAGUAGCCCGGAGAUGGGUACUGAGACACGGACCCAGGCCCUAUGGGGCGCAGCAGGCGAGAAAACUUUGCAAUGUGCGAAAGCACGACAAGGUUAAUCCGAGUGGUUUCUGCUAAAGGAACCUUUUGUCGGUCCUAGAAACACCGAUGAAUAAGGGGUGGGCAAGUUCUGGUGUCAGCCGCCGCGGUAAAACCAGCACCUCAAGUGGUCAGGAUGAUUAUUGGGCCUAAAGCAUCCGUAGCCUGCUUUGUUAGUUUUCGGUUAAAUCUAUACGCUCAACGUAUAGGCUGCCGGGAAUACUGCAAAGCUAGGGAGUGGGAGAGGUAGACGGUACUCGGUAGGAAGGGGUAAAAUCCUUUGAUCUAUUGAUGACCACCUGUGGCGAAGGCGGUCUACCAGAACACGUCCGACGGUGAGGGAUGAAAGCUGGGGGAGCAAACCGGAUUAGAUACCCGGGUAGUCCCAGCCGUAAACCAUGCAAACUCAGUGAUGCAUUGGCUUGUGGCCAAUGCAGUGCUGCAGGGAAGCCGUUAAGUUUGCCGCCUGGGAAGUACGUACGCAAGUAUGAAACUUAAAGGAAUUGGCGGGGGAGCACCACAA